rnacentral:rRNA from 1 species
AUUGAACGCUGGCGGCAGGCCUAACACAUGCAAGUCGAACGAGUGGCGGACGGGUGAGUAAUGUCUGGGAAACUGCCUGAUGGAGGGGGAUCACUACUGGAAACGGUCGCUAAUACCGCAUACCCUCUGAUGUGCCCAUAUGGGAUUAGCUCGUAGGUGGGGGAAAGGCUCACCUAGGCGACGAUCCCUAGCUGGUCUGAGAGGAUGACCAGCCACACUGGAACGGAGACACGGUCCAGACUCCUACGGGAGGCAGCAGUGGGGAAUAUUGCACAAUGGGCGCAAGCCGGAUGCAGCCAUGCCGCGUGUAUGAAGAAGGCCUUCGGGUUGUAAAGUACUUUCAGCGGGGAGGCGUUACCCGCAGAAGAAGCACCGGCUAACUCCGUGCCAGCAGCCGCGGUAAUAC